GCCAUUUGCCUAUUUCCUUCGGGAGUCUUCGAUGCCGGAUCGGGUUCCGUUCCGACUUCCCGGUCAUCCCUCUUUCCCGACGGUGACCGGCGACGAGCGGCCGGGAGGCAAGCAUCAUUGAUCGGCGACGGUGAUGGCGACGGCAACGAGCCCAUUUCCAAUAAUUUCUUAGACGCAGGGGCUGGCUCCCGCUGCUCCAAAUCUUCAACAUCGCUCUCCCUCUCUCUCUAAAUCGCUUCUUAUGCAUUGGUUUUAGAAGACUUCACAACAUAUGCAUAGCAUUUCUAAGCUGCUGCAGGAAUGGCAACAGAGAAGGAUGUAUAAGGAAUCUACAACAAUUUAAGGAUGACAUGGCUUUUUUAAGAAACAAGCUUGCAUGUAUCUUCCAGCUCGAGCACCUCAUUGUGGCAGCUGGUGGUAGUCUUUAGGCUGGUGGUGGAGAAAGGAGGGAAAGGAGGAAUCUUACUGAAGCUUCUUUAUUUCCCCAUCAAGUUUUUAACAAGCCAAGCAUUGGGUAGGAAGGCCAUGCUGAACCUUGGCACUGAUGUUCCAAUAAUAAUGUUGAAUUUGAACUUGGCUGGAUAAAAUUUGAGCUGAACUUUAAUAACAUUUUCUUAGAUGCAAAUAUAAUGUUUGAAAUGCUGGUUAGCAAGUAA